AUGGACAGUAGGGUCUCUGGAAGUAUUCCUGCAGACAUCGGCAAUUUGGUUGGUCUUAACAGGCUUGCAAUAGCAAAUACAUUCAUAUCUGGAGUGAUUCCAGACAGCAUUGGAAAGCUAGGAGACUUGGCUUUGCUAGCCUUGUACAACAAUAGCUUGUCUGGCCUCAUACCACCAUCUCUAGGAAAUCUUUCGCAGUUGAAUACCCUUUAUGCAUACUAUGGCAACUUGGAGGGACCAAUUCCAGCAAGCCUGGGGGAGUUGAAAAAACUUUUUGUACUCGAUCUGUCAACGAACUACAGGCUUAAUGGUUCAAUACCCAGAGAAAUUUUGAAAUUGCCGGGCCUUUCUUGGUACUUGGACUUGUCAUAUAAUUCCCUUUCUGGACCCAUUCCUAAUGAAGUUGGUAGCUUGGCAAAUCUUAACCAAUUGAUUCUAUCAGGAAACCAGUUGUCUGGCAAAAUACCCGACAGUAUUGAGAAUUGCAUAGUGUUGGUAUGGUUAUUAUUAGACAAUAACUCGUUCGAAGGAAGCAUACCUCAGUCACUGAAGAAUAUAAAGGGGCUCAGCAAACUGAACCUGACCAUGAAUAAGCUCUCUGGUAAUAUUCCUGAGGCCCUUGGCAGUAUUGGAAAUCUACAGGAACUGUACCUAGCACAUAACAACUUUUCAGGAUCAAUCCCCGCAGUUCUAAAGAAUUUGACAUCACUGUACAAAUUGGAUGUAUCCUGCAACAAUCUGCAAGGCGAGGUGCCAGAUGAAGGUGUUUUCAGAAACAUCACUUACUUAGCAGUUGCUGGGAAUAUCAAUUUGUGUGGUGGUACACCUCAACUUCACUUGGCUCCAUGCCCCACAAACCGCUCAAGCAAGAACAGAAAAAAGAUGCCAAAGCCUCUUGUAAUUUCUCUAGCAAUAGCUGGAGCAAUCUUGCUGUCACUGUCAGUUAUUCUUCUGGUUUGGAUACUUUGCAAGAAGCUCAUACCAAGCCAGAAUACAUUAGCAAAAAAUUCAAUUGCUGAUGACCAUUACAAGAGAAUCCCCUAUCAUGCAUUAUUGAGAGGAACUAAUGAAUUUUCAGAAGUCAACCUGCUUGGGAGAGGAAGUUAUGGUGUGGUUUAUAAGUGCGUUUUGGAAACUGAAGAAAGAACAUUGGCUGUCAAGGUGUUUAAUCUUGGCCAGUCCAGGUAUUCCAAGAGUUUUGAGGCUGAGUGUGAGGCCAUGAGAAGGAUACGACACCGUUGUCUUAUUAAGAUAAUUACUUCUUGUUCGAGCGUCAACCACCAAGGUCAAGAGUUCAAGGCAUUGGUUUUUGAGUUCAUGCACAAUGGUAACUUGGAUGGUUGGCUUCAUCCAAAAUCUCAAGAGCAUACUAUAAACAACACGCUCGGUCUUGCCCAGAGGCUUGAUAUUGCUGUCGAUAUUGUGGACGCAGUAGAAUAUCUGCACAACUACUGUCAACCAUGUGUAAUCCAUUGCGAUCUUAAGCCAAGCAACAUUCUUCUUGCUGAAGACAUGAGCGCACGAGUUGGAGACUUCGGCAUAUCAAGGAUCCUUCAAGAAAAUACAAAUGAGGGGAUGCAAACUUCAUAUAGCUCAACUGGAAUUAGAGGUUCCAUAGGCUAUGUUGCUCCAGGUGACAAAAACUCUUCUAAUUUUAUAUUUUACUUUUCACCGAAUAUGGAAUGCUAA
rnacentral:rRNA from 1 species